UACGUAGGAGACGAGCGUUGUCCGGAGUUACUGGGCGUAAAGGGUGCGCAGGCGGCCACGCGCGUCGCGAGUGAAAUCUCCCGGCUCAACCGGGAGGGUGGUCGCGAGACGGCGUGGCUUGAGGCGUGGAGAGGGGCGUGGAAUUCCGGGUGGAGCGGUGAAAUGCGUAGAGAUCCGGAGGAACACCGACGGCGAAGGCAGCGCCCUGGACACGACCUGACGCUCAGGCACGAAAGCGCGGGGAGCAAACAGG
rnacentral:rRNA from 1 species